rnacentral:rRNA from 1 species
AUGGCCAAAUAUUGAUGGCGGAGUUCCAUAGACAAACGUACACUACACUGGCUCUCUUGGGAUAAACUUGCGACACCCAAAGUGAAGGGCGGCAUGGGAUUCCGCGACAUGCAGGUGUUCAAUCUCGCAAUGCUCGAGAAACAUGGCUGGCAUCUUCUCACCAAACCGGAGUCGUUGUGCUCGCGGGUGCUUAAGGGCAAAUAUUAUCCACAAACUGACUUCCUCAAUGCGAGUGUUCCUGCUCGAGCCUCGGCUACGUGGAAAGCAAUUAUUGCAGGGAGAAAGGCCCUUGAAGUCGGGUUCAUCAAAAGAGUUGGAGAUGUCUCCACUAUCUCCACUUGGACAGACCCCUGGAUCCCUGGCAACUUAUUUCUGAAACCGAUGGGGCGCCUUGGCUCUUCCACACUCGCCACGGUCUCAGAACUGAUAGAUGAUUACACAGGCAAUUGGAAUGUGGAAAUCAUUCAAGAAAAUUUCUUGCAACCGGAUGUUGAAGCUAUCCUCAAUAUACCUCUUAACAGCAACGGUGGUCAAGAUUCUUUGGCAUGGGCCUUAGAGAAAUCUGGCAACUACUCUGUAAAAUCCGCGUAUCGCUCUCUUGUGACUCGGAACGAGCACCACGCUCUAGAAGAAGGGACGAUUACAGAAACUUCAUCAGCUAAUAAACAGAUGUGGGCGCCCUUUGGAAAUUACAUGUGGUUCCAAAAGUCCGUGUAUUCUGGUGGAGAGUUCUCCGGGGAAUACUACCAGAUUCAGUCACUUUGCAAUACCGACACAUCAAGCCAUUACGCCGGUGUGACAUUUGCAAAGCAAUGGAUGAAAACUUGCUUCAUGCACUAG